UCAGCAACUGACAGCUUGCAAUUGACGCUUGCCCAGAGCAGGGCUCCUGGUUUCCUGCUUCCUGUCACUAUGACCUGGUUAAUUCCUACAUAUCUACAUGGGCUUCAUCCAAUAAAUGUUUCUUCAAUGAAUAAGAGGUACUGAGAGAGCUGGAGGGUGUGAUUACUGACGCCAUCAUUGAUCUUUGAAGGAUGGCAGAGAAUAAGAGAGAUGUCACUGUCCUGGAGAAAUACAACUGCCCCAGUGUUCCAAAAGAAGGAGAGAAUGUCAUCUACAGACUCUAGGUCAGUAGAGUUGAGUGUGAUGCCUGGGAAAAUUUUAGAACAUGUUAUUGAAAAGAUGACAAGAAAAAGAAGUUAUGAUUACAAAAAAACACCAUAGCUCCAUCAAGAACAAAUCAGAAUAGAGACCAGGCCUGGAGAUGGGUGGUCACAGGUUCAAAUCUGGCCUCAGACACUUUCUAGCUGUGUCACCCUGGGCAAGUCACUUAACCCCCAUUACCAACCUCUUCUGCUGUGGAACUAAUAUUUAGUAUCAAUUAUAAGGCAGUGGAUUAAAAAAAAACACAAAAAACAGAUCAUACCAGACUAACUUUAUUAUCUUUCAGGCAGGGUAACUAACCUGAUAGCUCACAGAAUUGUAAGACUGUAGGUUCAGAGCUGGAAGGGACCUUAGAAGUUAUCUAAAAACUCCUCUGUUUUAUAGAUCAAAUAACAGAAAGCCAGAGAGAUUAAGUGUCUUGUUCACAUUAAUAUAGAGAGUUAAUGGCAAAGCCAGGAUUCAAACUCAGAUCCCCUUGUUCCAAAUCCAGAACCUUUUUCAUUAUGACAUGCCUUAGGUGAGCUUUUCCUGGAUUUCCCUAAAGCUUUGUUAAAGUAUCUCAUAAAUAUCCUUAGGGAAAAUACAACUACCUAUACUGAAAACUGUUCAAAUGGUCAAAUUCAUUGUGUGUGUUGUUUUUUAAAAAUAAUUCUUACCUUCUUAGCAUCAAUUUUAAGACAGAAGAAUGGCAAAGUCUAGGCAAUUGAGGGUAAGUGACUUAUCCAGGGUCACACAGCUAGAGAGUUUGUGAGGCCAGAUUUGCUAGGUCCUCCUGACUCUAGACCUGAAUCUCUAUCUACAAUGCUAACAUUUUCCCCUGCUGAUUGUUAAUAUUUCCAUAUCAACUUGGAAGGUGGUCCCCAUGUGAGUGUCUCCAAGAGCUAUGCUGUUAAAAAGUUUUAUAAAUGACGUCUUCGUGCAAUUCACAGUUGACACAAAUGACAAAUAAUAUUCUAGAUGAAAGAAUCAGGAUCCAGAAAGAUUUUCAUAGGCUAAAAGUUUGUCUGAAUUUCAAAAAGAUGAAGCUUUAAAAAGGGUCAUUGUAAAGUGACCUGAGUUCAAGAAAUCAACCUGUAAGUCAAUCUGGGAGAGCAUAGCUUGACAAUCAUCUCUGUGAAAAAGAUCUGGGACUUUUAGUCAACUAAAAUAUGAAUAUGGCUCAAAAUGAGUCAAUAGAGUAAUACAGAAGGCAAAAAACACUAAUGUGGUCUUGGGCUUGUGAUGAAUAAAAAUUCUGAGAGACCUGAUUCUGGGUAAGAAAAAUUGAUUUAUUGAUGAGGCUAGCAAUAACCAACAAAUUAAUGUUCCAGGAUCUCUUUUGGUGAUCAGUGAAAAUUCAUGCAGAGUCUUGAUUCAUUUAAAUACAAUUUGUAAGGGAAGUUAGGUAAUACAAUGGACAGAGCACUAGGUCUGGAAUAAGGAUCUGGAUUCAAAUUUAACCUCAGACACUUACUAGCUGAGUGACCAUGGACAAGUCACUUAACCCAAAUUGCCUACCCUUUGCUGUUCUUCUGUCUUAGAAUUGAUAUUAAGACAGAAGGUAAGGGUUUUUGUUUUCUAAAUACAGUUAUAAAAACUUAUUAUUCAGCCCUCUCCUAGACAGUCCAAGACAUCUCUAAUUAGUGGAUACUAAUGAGGAGGUGAGCUAAUAUUUACCUUUCCUCCCUGAUUCCCUCAUGACAAUGGUGAAAAGUCUGUGAAGAUUAAAUUUAAUUCUCCCCUGAUUAUAACAAGGGAAAUUGUUAUUUGUGAUUGUGAUUGUGAAGAUUAAAUUGUAAUCCCUGGCUAUUUUUAGAACACAGUACUUAAAGUUGUGUGGGAAAUCUGCCCAUUUUUUAAUUUAAUCACCAAAGGUGCAAACACCCCAUUUCACACAUUGAGUGGGGGAGCCCUGUGACCCAUGUGUGCAAUAAUGGGUGACAAUUCAGAAUCGACUGACUGCCUUCUGGGCAGUCCUAAAACAAGGCAUCAACUGUGAUUGGUGGACAUACAAUUAGAGGAAGACACAGGAAGUUACGCAAGAGAAAAUGUCUUUAAAAGGAGCUGUUACUUCCUGUGAGAGUCAGCUCUUCAUUUUUUGGAAGUGGAGACUGAGGACAAUUCUUCAUUCCUUGGAGUGUUGACUGGACCUGAGACCUUGUUUCCUGUUGAGGCUGAUAAAGAAUCUGCUGACUGGACUGACACAUGGUGAGUGAAAAGUUGACUCUUAACUGCUUGAUUGUCUGGAGAAACUAGCCUCAGGAGAGACCUCUCCUCUUGAGAGAGGCUCCCUGCAUCCCAGGUCCUUGACUCAAGGCUGAGGCCCUUCAGCUAAGGACUAAUUAGCCCUGUCUGGGUUGAGCCUGGGGCUGGAGAUAAAUUACUUAGUUAUCCUCUCUGAUUUCUUGCUUCACUCUUUCUACAUUUUGUAAAUAAAAUCUCUUCGGAAUUAAUUAAAUUCCUGGCAUCCACACUCUUAAAUAAUCCAGUGCAACCCUUUUAAAAUUAAUCCCUUUUCCCCCCUUACAAGUCACAUAUUGAUCUCAGGAUUCCAAUAUUCUUGCUGAUCUGGAUGGAGAAAUCAAGUUAGGUCUGGUUAAGUUUGACUUUCAUCAUUCAUCUUAAUGGAAGAAAUCAAGGAUAUGGCCAUGUCCCUCUAGACACAUUUGGCCAAAACUAGUUCAGUUUACAAGAAAGGUUGAGCUUAAGUUUUCAAUCUUAAUCAUCCCAAUUUUAGAAGAUGCUUGGGGGAGAGGCAUAAAAGGUAGAUUCCUAGGAUAGGCAGAAUAAAGGAAUGAAGAAAAGACUGUAAUGUUGCAGAGCAAUACUAGAAAUCAAAUGAUGCAGUAUUAAGAAUAAAUCUUCUCGGGGGCAGCUGGGUAGCUCAGUGGAUUGAGAGCCAGUCCUAGAGAUGGGAGGUCCUAGGUUCAAAUCUGACCUCAGACACUUUCCAGCUGUGUGACCCUGGGCAAGUCACUUGACCCCCAUUGCCUAGCCCUUACCACUCUUCUGCCUUGGAGCCAAUACACAGUAUUGACUCCAAGACAGGAAGGUAAGGGUUUAAAAAAAAAAGAAUAAAUCUUCUCAGGAUACAUUGAGAGGUAUAACUUCCAUGAAUAAGAAAGUAAUAUUCUCUUUGUCUAUUCAUUUAGUACCUACUAUGUGCCUGAUACUGGGCUAAGCAUUGGGGAUGCAAAAAAAAAAAGAAGCAAAAGACAGUUCAUGUUCUCUAGGAGCUCACAGGCUAAAGGAAGAGAAAACAUGAAAGAUAAAUAUAGGAUAAAUUGGAGGAAGAGUGUUGAUAAAGUGCUGAGCCUGGAGUCAAGAAGACUCAUCUUCCUGAGUUCAAUCUGGCCUCAGACACUUGCAAGCUGUGUGAUCCUGAGAGAGUCAUUUAACCUUGCCUCAGUUUCCUCAUCUGUAACUCAGCUGCAGAAGGAAAUGGCAAACCACUCCAGUAUCUUUGCCAUGAAAUUCCCAAACGGAGUCAUGGAGAGUCGGUCACAAAUGCACUGAACUGAAAUUAGAGGUCAUCUAAGAGGGAAGAGACAAGCUGUGGGAGACAAGAAAAAACUUCUUGCAGAAGGGAUGAUAUUAGGUGAGAACUGAAGGAAGCCAGGGAACCCUGGGAGUAGAAGUAGAGAGGGAGAACAUUCCAGGAAUGUGGGGAAGCCAGUGAGAAGGUAUUGAGUUGGAAAAUGGAAUGUCAUGUUCAAGGAACAGUUAGAAGGCCAGUGCCACUGGAUCAUAGAGAACAUGAAGGAGGAAAACAGCAUAAAACAUUGAAAAAGUAAGAAGGAGAUGGGUUUUGUAGGGCUUUAAAACUAAACAUAGGAUUUCAUCCCAAGGGAAAUAUGGAGGCACUACAUACUCUCAUCUGUUUCUUAAAUAAUCUUCAGACAGCACCUAGAGUAUUGUUUCAGUUCUGCUGCUACAUUUUUAAAUGUUAUUUUAUUUUAAAAACCCUUCCCUUCCAUCUUAGAAUCAAUACUUGGCAUUAGGUCCAAGGCAGAAGAGCAGUAAUGUCUAGGCAAUUGGGGUUAAGUGACUUGCCCAGGGUCACAUAGCUUGGAAGUAUCUGAAUCCAAAUUUGAACUCAGGGCCUUAUGACUCCAGGCCUGGCUCUCCACCAUUGAGCAACCUCGCUGCCCCUCUCCUAGUCUAUUUUAGGAAGGAGAUUAAAUAAACUAGGGAGAAUCUAAAGUGAGGCCACUGUGAUGGUAAAAGGCUAUGUAUGAGCUUAUGCCACAUAAAGAUUAGUGGAAGGAAUUAAGGAUAUUUACCUUGGAGAAGAUAAGACUGGAGGGAAUAUGAUUGCUGUAUUCAAGUCCUUGAAAGGCAAACAUGGAUCAGUAAUGAAAUUUGCCCCAUUUGGCCUUGGAGGAAAGAACUAAAGGUGAUGGACUGAAGUGGCAAAGAUGCAACUUUAGGCUUGAUAUAUGGAAAAAUUUGUGAACAAUUGGAGCUAUCCAAAAGUCGAAUGGCCCACCACAGGAGGGAGUAGGUUGCCCCUCACCAGAGCACAAGCAAUGGCUACAUGAAAAUUUGCUGUAAGUCCUACUGGGGAUUCUUUAUUGGAUUUGGCUUGAUCUCUCCAGCUGCUUAGCUACCUUCCAGUUUGGAAAUUCUGGGAUUUUGUGGUUCUGAUUCUGUGAAAGCCAAAUGAAGAUCUACAACACAGAUGCCAACCUGGAAAGACCUGGACUCUUGACCAGCCUGACUAGAAUACAAAUGUGCUAUAAAAAAAUCAGCAUUCUCAAAUCCUACAGUUAACAGAUCAGAAGAGAAAAGCAAGCUUAGGAAAAAAGGCACCUAUCAAAGCCAGCCAUUUCCCAGGAUUAAAAUAUACCCAUGAUGCAAUAGAGUCUGCUAGUUCCAGAUAGGUUUUUUUUCUCAUGCAUCAGUGACCCCACACAGAAAGCAUUUCUGGAAGACAUCAUUUGCACCCAUGUGAUAAAUUGCUUAUAAUAAAAAGCAAAUGAAAAAUGGGGACAAUGGUUUUUGGCACCUCCAUUAAGGCCCCAAAUGAUUUUAGUGCUGCUGUCCAAAUGUUGUCAUGACUGUGAUAGCACAACAUCCUAAAUGGCUAAUUGCUCCCUGACUUCACUGCUAUUACCCAAGGUCUUUCAGUUCCUUCUCAUAAGGCUAUCACCCUUGGGACUAUAUCUUUUCCUUUGUCCUUACUACACCAUUAUCUUCUAGUGAAAGAAAUAACUUCCCUUUAACUUAGAAGAAAUCAUGACUGCUAUUGUAAUUAUGUUUAAUAAAGCAAUUUUGGUAUUGUAAAAGUGUAAUGAUGAGGGGCAGCUAGGUGGCUUGAGAGCCAGGCCCAGAGACAGGAGGACCUGGGUUCAAAUCUGCUCUCAGACACUUCCUAGCUGUGUGACCCUGGGCAAGUCACUUAACCCCCAUUGCCUAGCCCUUACCACUCUUCUGCCUUGGAACCAAAACAUUGUAUUGAUUCUAAGAUGGAAGAUAAGGGUUUAAAAAAAAGAACACAGAAAAGUGAGUGGGGCUAAAAGCAAUCUGGAAUAGUUAUUCAUUUGACUCUAUUUCUAUUGUCUUUUAUUUUCUACAAAUGAGGGGAAAGUUGGAAGUAUCCCUGGAUAUAUCUCUCCCUGGAUCCCCUAUAUUCCUGGAAGUCUAUAGCUAUAUCUGUAGAAAUAGACACUUAGAAAGGACCCAAAGGAGAGCUUUGGAAGAGGAGAUGGAGUGCCCACUUUUGUCAUUGAAAGAAACUGACAUAGAAGACCUAAUACCCAUGAGAGCUAAGAUUGGUCCUGGAUCAUAGAGUCAUCAGAGUAUGGGGCUGGCUUGACAGCUCACUCUCUCACACAUUUCCAGAGAGGUUGGGGAGGGUCCACUGAGUGGAAGGCAGGAAGCAGAAGAUUUUUACCACCAAAAAAAUGGCGCUUGAAUGGAUGUCUCUUUCCAGGAUUGGUGACCAUGAUUGGAAAGCAACCACCAAAAGGCUGAGAGGUGCAAAUAAGACCCGCAGUUAAGCCAAGCAUGAUGAACUGUAACAGAGCCUGGGAAAGGGGGAAUGACAGGCUUUGGUUACCAUCAGGACCAAUUUUUAAGCAAUGAAGCCAAAACUGCUUACCUUCCACCUCCACUGCAGGAGGAGUUUGCCCCAUGCCAGGUCUAAUGAGCUUCUGGAAGUACUUGUUUCCCAAAAUGCUCUUGGGGAAGUAGGAAAACUGUACUCAUUUGGGAAUGUAUGCUUGUGUUGUUUUUGUUGCCUUACUAUUUCUUUCUUUCCCAAUUUAGCGUUUUAUUAUUGGAGUGCAGUUCCAUCCUUGCCUGGAUGUUUUAACAUUAUGAGCAGAGGUAGGAAAGCACAAGGCAUAUUCAGAGGACAAGUAAAAUAAUGGAGGAGAAGAUGGCUCGGGGACCUUGAAUAGUCCAUUAAGCAUGGUGUAGUAGCUCGGUCCUCUUGGGUACUUACUGUGUGUUAUGUCAGUUGAGCAAGUUUUCACUCUCUCUGGGCUUCGUUUAUAAAAUGAGGGAGUUGAAACAGAUAAAUUCUAAGCUACAUGCUAAUUCUAAAUCUAUGAAACUAAGAUCGUAGGCCUGAAUUAAUUCCAGAAAUUUCUAGUUACAACUGGGAAGAAGUAAACAAGUCAAUAAAUUAACAGACCAAUUAAGCAUCCCCAGGAUUUUUAUCAGAGACAGUGAGGGUCUAGAGGUAAUGGGAACCAUAGGAAAAGAACCUGACCUUUGGGGUCAAUUGAGCCAUAACAUCUGAUCAUUAAAUAUGCACCAUAUAAACCAAAGAGGGCAAAGUGUCAGGACAAUAGGGUAUUGCUGGAUUGGAAAUUAUAUAGGUAGGCCCAUUCACUCCCUGUAGCGUUAGCACCUGCAAGAGAUGAUGACAAGGGAGCAAUUGAAAUAAUCACAGUGCUCUCAUUGAGUAGCAUUUCCAUAGAAGUAUUUCAGAGCUAGAGACUAGGAAAGGGAAUCAUGUUCAUAGUGCUGGAGUCAGCUACUAGGGUAUUAUUUGGUGGUAAGUUGACCCAGAGUGUAUCAGUAAUAGAGCAUUAUUGUGAGAGUCAGAGAAUAUCAUAGUAAGAAUGAGGAGAGCUUUCUGGAAGAGAUCAAUAAAGACUCGGAGACAGGGAUUCUCUUCUAUCUUUUUUCUCUCUCCCUUUCUUUUUGUCUUUCUCUUUUUUUAUUCUCUUUUUCUUUCUGUCUGUCUUCUUUUCUGUCUUUACCUUCCUUCCUUCCUUCUUCUCUCAGGAAAAGACUUGGUAGAGGGAACAUGACAGCUUUUUUUGGAAGUUUGAAAUGGAGAAGAUUCAACUCAUUAUUCUUGGUCCCCAAAGUCAGAAAUGGGAAUAAUAAAUGAAGUUGCAUAAUUAGGCUUAUGUUAAAAAAAAAAACUGUAUAGCAAUGAGGGCUAUCCCAAAGUUCUCUGGGUACCUGGGGAAGUGGUAGACUCCCUCCCAAGAGAAGUCCUCAAGCAGAUGGUGAAUUGUCAGCAGUUACAGAAAAAUUUCUUGUUAUAUAUAAAUUGGACUUCUGAGAUACCUUCCAGGUCUGUAGCCAUGAGAUCAUGGUUUGUCCAAUUUAUACCCAGGAAGCAAUGAGAAAACAAUAUGGAAUGUACUUGUUAUUCAGUUGUUUCAGUAGUGUCCAAAUCUUUGUGACCCCAUUUAGAGUUUUCUUGGUAAAGAUACUAGAAUACUAGUUUUCUUGGUAAAGAUACUAGUGGUUUGGCAUUUCCUUCUCCAGUUCAUUUUACAGAUGAGGAAACUGAGGCAAACAAGAUUAAGUGACUUAUCCAUAGCAAGUAAGAUGGGGUUUUUUAUGUAAGGCUACCUAUCUUUUAUUCUACUUUGUUUAUUUUGUUAAAUAUUUCUCAAUUAUGUUUUAAUCUGGCUCCUGUGGCAGUCAGAAGUAUUGCAUAGAACUCCUCUAAUUUAAAAUAAGUACCAAAUAAGGUGAGCUAUUUGGGGAAGCCAUCUUCUCUAACUUUUCACUGAGCAGACCUUCCUCCAGUUCUCUAAAAAAUCUCCUGUUCAUACUCUCCUGAGUGUGAACCAAAACAACACCCAGGGCCAGCCCUGUGACCAAGUCUUACUGGGGCAGCCCAGGGAUUUCAUUCGAAAUCCUGAGGGACAACUGGCACUUGCAGCAUGAUUAAAGGCAACUGGCAUUCCAGAUUUCUUUUUCCUUAGUGCAGAUGGUUGAUUUAGCCCUAAGCACAGAAGAGUAGAGAUUUGUCUGAUCCAGAGAAUCCACUAGGUCCCAAAGACUAUUGGGAGUUAGAUUUUCAAAUUCAAUAAAUUCAAGGUCAUCAUGUUAAGCUUUUGAUAUGUACAAAGUAGAGUGCUAACUGAUGAGGGAAACACAAUGGUAAAUAAGAAGAGUCCUUGUCCUCAAGGAGAUUCAGCAUGGCACCACCCUCGGGAGCCAGGAGCCUUGGUUUGAAUCCUGGCUCUGGUAUUGCUUAACUGUUUAACCAUUGGCAAACAAAUUGUCUCUCAGAAGUGAUCUUCCCAUGGAAAAAUGGGAGCAAUAAUGAUGUCUUUACCUAUCUUCCAAGGUUGUUGUAAGGUCAGUGUUUUGUCCAUCUUGAAUGACUAUAGAAAUAUGGGAUUUUGUCAUAAGAUAUGCACGGAAAUGACCAUGGUAUAGCAUUGGCUGAAGUACCUAAGAAAAGUCAAAGGAAAUCAUUAGAGAGGUAUCACUUUCCAUUGUGAAAGUCCAGAAAAUUUCCAGGAGCGACUGCCAUUUGAUCAGGUCUGAGAGAAUGGGGUAAUAUUUCAAUAAUAAGGAAAGAUGAGAUGAGACGAAAGAUUUAUGUUGUCUAAACAUAGAUGAACAGCUUAAAUGAAACCACAGAGAUGAGAAAGUGCACAGCAUGCUCCUAGAAUGGUGAUUUGUCUUGUCUGGUUGGAACAGAGAGAAGGCAAAGCAGAAGGGCGUGAAAUAAGACUGGAGAUGAAGAUUAAAGAUAUUGUCAGGCAGUCAGUAACCAUUUAUUGACUCCUGUCCAUGUAUCGCACAGUGCUAAGCACCAGAGAUACAAGAAAAGGCAAAGGGUCCCUGCCCUCAAAGCGCACACAAUCUAGGUGGGGAGACACCAUGAAAAUAACUAUACACAAAUGAGCUAUAUACAAGACAAAUGGAAAAUAAUCAACGAAGGGUUAUAUAGAAGGUGAUGUUUUAGCUGGGAAGUGAAAGAAGCCAGGGAAGCCUGGAGACAGGGGUGAGAUGGGAGAGCAUCUUAAACAUGGAAGACAAUCAGAGAAAAUGAUUGGGGUCAGGAGAUGAAAUCACAAAGAAAGCCAGGGUCCCUGAAUUGAAGAGUAGAGGGAUGUAUGAAGACAAGAGACAGACAGACAGACAGAAAAAGAGACAGAGAGACAGAGGCAGAGACAGAGAGACAGAAACAGAGAGAGUAAGGGGAAUAUGCUAUAAAGAACUUUGAAGGCGAAACAGAAUUUUCUAUUUGACACUAGAGGUGAACAGGAGUCAUUGAAGUUUAUUGAGGUGGGAGAGAGAGUGACAUGGUCAGACCAGAUCUUUAGGAAGGUUACUUUGAUAGCUGAGUAGGGGAUGGAUUGGAGUGGGGAGAGACUUGUGGCAGAGAGAUCAACUAGCAGGUUAUUGCAAUAAUGUUAGGAAUUUGGACUUUAUCUUGUAAGCAUUAGGAAGUCACGGGAAGGUUUAAGGAGUAACAGGGUCAGAGGUGUAAAUUAGGAAAGUUAACAUGAUCAGCAAAAUUAAUUGGAGAAGUGAGACUAAUUAGUAAAACAUUGAAAUUGUCGAGCUGAGAGGAAAGGAGAACCUGGACUCCAGUGAUGACAGUUGGAAUGGAAAGGUGGGGACUUGGGACAGUUUCAUUUGCUGUUUACAAAAUUAGAAUAUCAUUUUCUCACAGCUGGGGAAUGCCAGGGCAAAAAAUAUAAAGUAGAUUUUCUGGGCAUUGUCAGAACUGAUAGGAGUCCAAAAAUGGAAAGCCAGAAAAAGUACUAAAGGAAGCCAGUUUGAGACCAACAAACAGUAGUAAAUUAGGGGUGGCAGUAGAGCUAAGACAACUGAAAUGAAUGAAUGGUUCCCUGAUAAAGGUCUCAUUUCCCAGAAAUAUAGGAUACUGAGUCAAAUUUAUAAAAAUAAGAGUCAUUCCCUAAUUGAUAAAUGGUCAAAGGAUAUAAAGAGGAAGUUUUCAGAAGAAGAAAUCAUUGCUAUCAAUCAUCAGAUGGGGGGAUGCUUUAGAUCACUAAUAAUAAAGAAAAAAUAAAAUGUCUCUGAGUACCACCUCAGACCUAUCAAAGUAGCUAAGAUGACAGAAAAAGAAAAUAGUGAAUGCUGAAGGGGAUUGUGUAAAAUAGGUACACUAAGACACUGUUAGUGGAGCUGUGAACUGGUCCAACCAUUCCAGAGAAGAAUUAAGAACAAUGCCCUAAAGGUUAUAAAACGUUGACCCAGCAAUACUGCUAUUAGAUUACCCACAAAAGAUGGCAAAAGGACCCAUAGGUACAAAAAUAUUUAUAGCCAAUCUUUUUAUUUUAGCAAGGAAUUGGAAACUGAAGGGAUGCUCAUUAUUUGGAGAAUGACUAAACAAGCUGUGGUACAUAAUUGUGAUUGGUUACUCUAGGAAAUGUGGAAGAAGGGGGUUUCAAAAAAACCUUGGAAGACUUACAUGAGCUAAUGCAAAAUAAAGUGAGCAGAACCAAAAGAACAUUGUACACAGUGAUGGUAGCAUUGUAACGAUAAUCGACUCUGAAAGACUUGGCUACUGUGAUCAAUACAAUGAUCCAUGACAAAUCCAAAAAAAUUCAUGAUGGAAAAUGUUACCCACUUCCAGAGGGAGAAAACUAACAGAUUCAGAGUGUUGAUUGAAGCAUCUUUUCUUUAAUUUUUAAAUUUUUCUUGCUUUUCCCCCCUUCACAACAUGGUUAAUGUGGAAAUGUGUUUUGUAUAGCUUUCUAUGUAUAAUGGAUAUUGUGUUUCUUUUCUUCUCAGUGGGUGGGGGAGGAACUAGAGAGAGGUAGAGAAUUCAGAACUGGAAAUAAAUAUUUCAAAAAAUAAAAGAAAAUGUAUAGGUGAAUGAAUAAAAAUGUACUAUGAAUUAGGCACAGCUAGGUGGAUCAGUGGUUUGGGAGUCAGGCCUAGAGACAAGGAAAUUCUAGGUUCAAAUCUGAUCUCAGACACUUCCUAACUAGGCUACCCUGGGCAAAUCACUUAAUUGCCAUUGCCUAGCCCUUACUGUUCUUCUGCCUUGGGACCAAUACACAGUAUUGAUUUUAAGAAAGUAAAGGUCUUUUUUAAGUAUGUAUUAAGCACUUACUGUAUUCUAAGAACUGUGCUUAGAACCAAAUGCAAAAAUAACAUAGCUUAGGAGCUUACAAUUUUUUUUUUAACUCUUACCUUCCAUCUUGGAAUCAAUACUCUGUAUUGGUAUGCCAAGAAGCUUACAUUCUAAUGAAAGUAUGAGAUUUAAAAUGGUUGAGGUCUUAAACUGUAGUGAUUAAAAUAGUGGAAGAUAUAAAUUGUGAUAGAUAUAAGAGAGAGUGAGCAAAUUUGACCUCAGAAAUAUGUUUCACUACAGUGUCUUGGGUUUUAAAAUCAAAUAUAAGGUGGUCGCCAGGGAAAUAUUCCCAAUUAUUCAAAUACCCAAGUCAAUUGGGUUUUAUAGAGAUUUUAAUUAACAAUACAAUGAGUAAUCAAAGAAAGAGAGAGAGAGCAAAAAAGGAAUAAGUAUGAAGGGCCUCAAGCCAAUACGGCCUAGACCUGAGUCUUAAAAGAGAAAUCAGCCAGUUUUUUAUAACUCACCAUAAGAUCUGUCUAAGUAAGGAUUUCUAAUGACACCAGGCCAGCAGCAUCUCAGCUGCUUUCACCAGCUCCCUCCUCCAUCUGAAUGUUUCAGAAUCAGUCUCCUCAGAAUGAGUCUCUCCAAUCUGAAUGUUUCAGACUUCCCAGCUCUUCCCUGAGCUCUUAUUUUUAAGGGCAAAAUCUUCUCUGUCACCUCCCCUAAGUCCUUACAUCUACCAAUCACUGUAGAUGUUUCUAAAGGACCGCCCAUUUUGAAUUGACAGCUGAGUAGUUUUAAUCUCUUUAGUAAGUCAGGAAAAAAAUGCUGCUGUGUCGACAAAUUUCAUUAGAAAAAACCUCUGAGUAAGUUUUCACCUUUUAGGUCCAAGUAGUUUACAAGUUGCCCCACCUUUAUAGGUACUUAGUAUCCCAUUGUAUCAAUUCUAAAACAGUCAUGACUUAAAGAACUUCCUGUCCUUUCCAUAAGCAUGGGUCAAAGCACUUUUCAUUGUUCUCAAGGAGCUCUAUGUCCUAAAGCAGUCCUAAGUAGGGUGGAGUAGGGAUAUUCCCAAGGCAAGGAGCCCUCACAUUCAAGUAGAAUUCUCACUAUCUGCUAGGGAAUUUUUUUUAAGUAGAAGAUUCCCCAAUGGGGAAAUUUCCAACAUUCAUAAGUCUGAGAAAUUUUAAGGUUUACAAAAGAAACAACAUAUAUGGAAGAGUGGCGAUCAAUGAAGCAUGUUUUUGCCUGAGAGGUCAUAGGCAUGGUGACUGAAGCCGUAAUGCAAUCAGUUUAAUUGUUUGUUUGUUUUUUUCAGAAACAAUGAUAGCAUUUGUUUAAUAAUAGUUUCCAAAACUAGAGGUUGAGAGCAUCAUUGGGGACACUUAGUGGUAGCAAAAUGUCUGGUGGUCCAGGCCAUGUAGCAGUAGGUCAGAUGGCAAGAAGAUGGCCAAAGUGGACAGUUAUAUGGGAGGUAAAGCAUGGCAUUGUCUGGGGCCAAUCAGAUAUGAUUGGUUAUGUGAAUUUGUACUUAUUCAUUCACCAACCAGGACUUCUUAGUGCCAUGGUUGGUAUACUAAAGCUAAAGGAAAUAAUGCCUAACCCCACUCCCAUCUCCCCUUCAAUUUUCUUGAGAAUGUUAUCUGGGCAAAUGGCAAAGAACAUGACAAAAAUAGUAAUCCACUAACAAGCAUUGCUGGCAUGUGGUAAUUGUUAAUUUUCUCAGCCACUGUUAAACUAUGAAGAAAUCUUGAUCACAGGACCUUAUGAUCAUCAGGCUUGACCUGGGAAUGGGCUUCAGAAGCUAGCUAUGAUUUGUUCCUGUUUAAAAUCCCCCAACAUCCUUCACUUUAAGUGUUUUCAGCUCCUUAAAGACUUAUAGUAAGAGUGAGAAAUAUUCCUGUGAGUCAGAACAAUGGUGAUCAGAAGUCUGAAGGAGCAGUCUGGAGCCAGGCAGAAAGGUAGAGAGAACAUACAAAGUUGAAACCUCAGACAUUUGGGGGGCAAGAGCUAAUAUAGUCUAAUCCUUAGGUUCUUUCUCUCCACUACUUCCCCAGUGCAUAAAGCUUGAGGAAGAAGACUAGAAAGAAACUUCAUUUCCUUUCCUGCCUGACUACUUUCCUUUCUAUUUUCCUUCCUACUUCUGAGGAGGAGGAGUGAAGGGAGGAAGUGGAAAGAAAUCAAUCCAGGCUGCCACAUUAUUGUAGCUUGCUAAUGUCUAUCUGUUAGACAUUGUAUGUUAUUUGAUAUUGUCAACAAAUUAUACGAAUAUUAACGCUGAGUUGUCUAAUGCUAUGAGUCUGCGGUUUCAACAUUUGGGAGGGAAGCCAGUCUAUGGGAGAAAAGUAAGGAUUUUAGCCCAUUAAUGAGAGAGAGAGAGAGAGAGAGAGAGAGAGAGAGAGAGAGAGAGAGAGAGAGAGAGAGAGAGAGAGAGAGA